CCUACGGGGGACUGCAGUGAGGAAUAUUGGUCAAUGGCCGAGAGGCUGAACCAGCCAAGUCGCGUGAGGGAUGACGGCCCUACGGGUUGUAAACCUCUUUUGUCUGGGGGCAAAGAGAGUCAAGUGUGGCUCAUUGAGAGUACCCGAAGAAAAAGCAUCGGCAAACUCCGUGCCAGCAGCCGCGGUAAUACGGAGGAUGCGAGCGUUAUCCGGAUUUAUUGGGUGUAAUGGGUGCGCAGGCGGUGGUGCAAGUCAGUGGUCAAAUUGCGGGGCUCAACCCCGUACUGCCGUUGAAACUGCAUCCCUUGAGUGCGCGAGAAGUAUGCGGAAUGCGUGGUGUAGCAGUGAAAUGCAUAGAUAUCACGCAGAACUCCGAUUGCGAAGGCAGCAUACCGGCGCGCAACUGACGCUCAUGCACGAAAGCGUGGGUAUCGAACAGGAUUAGAUACCCGUGUAGUC
rnacentral:rRNA from 1 species